GGCGAGUGGCGAACGGGUGAGUAAUACAUCGGAACGUGCCCUGUAGUGGGGGAUAACUAGUCGAAAGAUUAGCUAAUACCGCAUACGACCUGAGGGUGAAAGCGGGGGACCGCAAGGCCUCGCGCUACAGGAGCGGCCGAUGUCUGAUUAGCUAGUUGGUGGGGUAAAAGCCUACCAGGGCGACGAUCAGUAGCUGGUCUGAGAGGACGAUCAGCCACACUGGGACUGAGACACGGCCCAGACUCAUACGGGAGGCAGCAGUGGGGAAUUUUGGACAAUGGGGGCAACCCUGAUCCAGCAAUGCCGCGUGUGUGAAGAAGGCCUUCGGGUUGUAAAGCACUUUUGUCCGGAAAGAAAUGGCUCUGGUUAAUACCCGGGGUCGAUGACGGUACCGGAAGAAUAAGCACCGGCUAACUACGUGCCAGCAGCCGCGGUAAUACGUAGGGUGCGAGCGUUAAUCGGAAUUACUGGGCGUAAAGCGUGCGCAGGCGGUUUUGUAAGACAGGCGUGAAAUCCCCGAGCUCAACUUGGGAAUGGCGCUUGUGACUGCAAGGCUAGAGUAUGUCAGAGGGGGGUAGAAUUCCACGUGUAGCAGUGAAAUGCGUAGAGAUGUGGAGGAAUACCGAUGGCGAAGGCAGCCCCCUGGGACGUCACUGACGCUCAUGCACGAAAGCGUGGGGAGCAAACAGGAUUAGAUACCCUGGUAGUCCACGCCCUAAACGAUGUCAACUAGUUGUUGGGGAUUCAUUUCUUCAGUAACGUAGCUAACGCGUGAAGUUGACCGCCUGGGGAGUACGGUCGCAAGAUUAAAACUCAAAGGAAUUGACGGGGACCCGCACAAGCGGUGGAUGAUGUGGAUUAAUUCGAUGCAACGCGAAAAACCUUACCUACCCUUGACAUGCCACUAACGAAGCAGAGAUGCAUUAGGUGCCCGAAAGGGAAAGUGGACACAGGUGCUGCAUGGCUGUCGUCAGCUCGUGUCGUGAGAUGUUGGGUUAAGUCCCGCAACGAGCGCAACCCUUGUCUCUAGUUGCUACGAAAGGGCACUCUAGAGAGACUGCCGGUGACAAACCGGAGGAAGGUGGGGAUGACGUCAAGUCCUCAUGGCCCUUAUGGGUAGGGCUUCACACGUCAUACAAUGGUGCGUACAGAGGGUUGCCAACCCGCGAGGGGGAGCUAAUCCCAGAAAACGCAUCGUAGUCCGGAUCGUAGUCUGCAACUCGACUACGUGAAGCUGGAAUCGCUAGUAAUCGCGGAUCAGCAUGCCGCGGUGAAUACGUUCCCGGGUCUUGUACACACCGCCCGUCACACCAUGGGAGUGGGUUUUGCCAGAAGUAGUUAGCCUAACCGCAAG
rnacentral:rRNA from 1 species